rnacentral:lncRNA from 1 species
AGCUUGUGUGUCUUAGGCAAUGUAGCCUGUGUAGUGUCUGUUGUGUGGCCUGGGCAGAUUUUGCUGUGGUGCUGUGAGUGAAGAAUCUGAGUUAGAGCUGGUGAGCAGCUGAAGUACCGGAGCUGGGAAGAGAGAGGUCUUGCAGCAGGUACACUGUGGCUGUGAGGUGCCUCAGAGUGUGCUUUUCCCUUUUCUCUGCAGGUGCUUUGUGCAGUCGUGGACAGGGAAGGGAUAUCUUCCUGUGAUGGAGCUCUGAGGGAAGGUGAGUGUUGCCAGCCUGGUCAUGCCUUAUCCGAAGCGAAGGGAAGACGCUCAGGUGUUUUCCUGUGAGGGUUGGAGGUGAGGCUGUUUGGGAUAGAGGAGCAGUGUGGCAGGUGGGUGCUUGCAAGCACAGUGGUCAUUGUAUCCUUUUGUGUUCCCAGGUGGCGUGGGUGAUGUUGGCCGCUCCUUUCAAGCUUGGACCUAAUUUUCAGGCUGAAACGCAGUGCGCAGUGCAGGACCUCUCGACCCAAGCUGCCUCUGCAGUGACUCUGGUGCUUGAUGAGCAGAGGUAACUGUUGUUUUUGGGGCGCGAUUGUCACUGCAGUUAUUUUCCUACAUCCAAUAGAGUAAAAUUCCAGUUUGCCUUUUAGAGGUGCUAUAAGUGGGUGAAGAGAACAGAUGGAAGCAUGUGCCACGUGGGGUAGGCAGACGGCUGAGGUACAGGAGGGGAUGAGAGUAUGUGAUUUUUUUCUGGGGACGAAAUGGAAUUAAUUUUGUUGGUGUAUAAUCUGUUCUGCACCUAGAUUUUUCUUUCAAUGUGAAUAAAAGUUUGAGCUAAUUCCA